GAUGAACGCUAGCUACAGGCUUAACACAUGCAAGUCGCGGGGCAGCAUGGGGGUUGCUUGCAAUCCCCGAUGGCGACCGGCGCACGGGUGAGUAACGCGUAUCCAACCUGCCCUUCACCACGGGAUAACCCGGCGAAAGUCGGACUAAUACCGUAUGUUGUCCAUUGACGGCAUCCGAUUUGGACGAAAGGUUUGGCGGUGAAGGAUGGGGAUGCGUCCGAUUAGCUGGACGGCGGGGUGACGGCCCACCGUGGCGACGAUCGGUAGGGGUUCUGAGAGGAAGGUCCCUCACACUGGAACUGAGACACGGUCCAGACUCCUACGGGAGGCAGCAGUGAGGAAUAUUGGUCAAUGGGCGUAAGCCUGAACCAGCCAAGUAGCGUGCAGGAUGACGGCCCUAUGGGUUGUAAACUGCUUUUAUGCGGGGAUAAAGUGGCCCACGUGUGGGUUUUUGCAGGUACCGCAUGAAUAAGGACCGGCUAAUUCCGUG
rnacentral:rRNA from 1 species